UUAGCUCUCGUUCGUCGUUAAUUGUUAAAACAGCUAAUAAAGUCCCCCUCCCGUCAAAAAAAAAAAAAGAAAAAAGUCCCUCAAACUCUCCAAAACCCAAUUGAAAACUCUCCAUAGUUUUGCUUCUGCAGUUCUUUAUUCCUUAAAUUUCAUGGCGGCGAGGGUUCUCAUUGCCCUGAUUUCCACCUUUCUUUGGGGCUUGAGGAAUUGUCAACGGAAGAUAUCUAGGUGGCGGUGAGCGUUUUGGGUCAGGGUUGCACCGGAAAGGUGGUGGCGUCGGUAAUGUUCUAUGGUGGGAGAGUAGUAAAGCGAUGUUAGACAACAUCUUCCACCUUCUUUAUCCUCCCUAUCAACCAGAUCUUAACUUGAAUUUGAGCUCUUAAUCGUAGGAGAUUGCAACAAAGGGAGAUUGCAAUAACAAAUCAGGCUGAUUCAACACACAACACACACAAGGAUGAUUCAAUUACCACACAGAUACCAGUGAGAUUUCUCCAGUUAUUGGCAGCAGUGCAAAUGUUACUUUAUCAGUCGAGGAUCUUGCUACUUUGUCUACGAGCAGGGUAUUCUCUCAGAUGAUGAGGUCAACGAGUCAAUGGACAUUGAACAGGACAAGGCAUCAUUUCUAUUGGCUAAUAGUUGGGAUAAGAAAGGUUAUGGGACAGCACAUCUCGAGAAAGGUGUUGUGAAAGCCAAUCAAAAUCCCUAUGCUGUCAUAUUUUAUGACUUUCUUGCAGUGAAUGUGAGGUUGGACAGCUAGAUGUCAGAAAUAUCUUGUAGUAGAGGCAAAACUGAUGCCACCUGCUUCUUAACAUAGUAUUUGAGAGAGCAGGGAUUAGAGAGAGCAGAUGAACAUUAGCAGCUGCAGCAGGUGAGGGAUACUAAAGGUGAUAAUCUGUUUAGCAGUUGCAGCAGAUGAACAUUAGCAGAUGAACAUUAGCAGCUGCAGCAGAUGAACAUUGGCAGCUGCAGCAGAUGAACAUUAGCAGCUGCAGCAGGUGAGGGAAAAUAGGCAUCAUUUGUAUUGUCUAUUUCCUUCAGUUUUCAAGUACUAGCAUUACUUUCAAUUGACGCUGAUAAUCUGUUUUCUCAUGCAUUGUUUUCAAUUGUUUGCUUGUUUUGUUUUUCAAUUAAGGUUGUUAAUAAUCACUUCACUUAUUUCACUGGUUAGUUGUGGGUGAUAUUGUCUUAUGAUCGGGUUUUGGAGGAGGAAUAACACUUGAAGAAAUAUCAGGACCACAACCACAACACAGUAGGGAGGAACUUAUAUCUAAGUAGAACGAGGCAAACGAACAAAAUCAUGUAUUACCAAACGCGUGGAUACGUACGUACGGUACAAGCGAAAAACAAUGCAUUAAGAGUCACAUGAGUUCAGUUGAAGAUGAGCUUAAAGCAUUAAAGAA